rnacentral:misc_RNA from 1 species
AAGUCGUAACAAGGUUUCCGUAGGUGAACCUGCGGAAGGAUCAUUAUCGAGUUUUGAACGGGUUGUCUGCUGGCUCGCAAGGGCAUGUGCACGCCUGUCUCAUCCACUCUCAACUUCUGUGCACUUUUCAUAGGCCGGCUUGUGGGUGCGUUCGCGCACUUGUAGGUGUCGGGCUUAUGCUUUAUUACAAACGAUUCAGUUUUAGAAUGUCAUACUUUGCUAUAACGCAAUUUAUAUACAACUUUCAGCAACGGAUCUCUUGGCUCUC